GACGAACGCUGGCGGCGUGCCUAAUACAUGCAAGUUGAGCGCUGAAGGUUGGUACUUGUACCAACUGGAUGAGCAGCGAACGGGUGAGUAACGCGUGGGGAAUCUGCCUUUGAGCGGGGGACAACAUUUGGAAACGAAUGCUAAUACCGCAUAAAAACUUUAAACACAAGUUUUAAGUUUGAAAGAUGCAAUUGCAUCACUCAAAGAUGAUCCCGCGUUGUAUUAGCUAGUUGGGUAGGUAAAGGCUCACCAAGGGGAUGAUACAUAGCCGACCGGAGAGGGUGAUCGGGCACAUUGGGACCGAGGAACGGCCCAAACUCCUACGGGAGGCAGCAGUAGGGAAUCUUCGGCAAUGGACGAAAGUCUGACCGAGCAACGCCGCGUGAGUGAAGAAGGGUUUCGGAUCGUAAAACUCUGUUGGUAGAGAAGAACGUUGGUGAGAGUGGAAAGCUCAUCAAGUGACGGUAACUACCCAGAAAGGGACGGCUAACUACGUG
rnacentral:rRNA from 1 species